CAAAUGACUCUCGGCAACGGAUAUCUCGGCUCACGCAUCGAUGAAGAACGUAGCAAAAUGCGAUACUUGGUGUGAAUUGCAGAAUCCCGUGAACCAUCGAGUUUUUGAACGCAAGUUGCGCCCGAAGCCAUUUGGUCGAGGGCACGUCUGCCUGGGCGUCACGC
rnacentral:rRNA from 1 species